UUGAUUAGACUCCUUUGAUAGGUAGUACAACUUUUUGAAGAAAUAUGGCACUAGUCAAAAGCCAAAUGGCUUUUUUCCUCCAUAUAUAUAUAUAUAUAUAAUAGUAUCUAUUUUGAAUAGUUUAUUGCACUUAUUGGUAUAGUUGUCGACAAAAAACUUGUUAUGAGCCUGAAUAACAUAUACCAACAACCAAGAUGGUUCUUGAAAAGCAUGAUUAACUAGUCCAUAAACCUCUUAGAGACUAAGG
rnacentral:lncRNA from 1 species